GACGAACGCUGGCGGCGUGCUUAACACAUGCACGUCGAACUAGUGGCGAACGGGUGAGUAAUACGUGGUUAACCUGCCCUCUUUUUGGGAUAAGCCUUGGAAACGGGGUCUAAUACCGAAUAAAGGGGGAUGGGCUCGCGGCCUAUCAGCUUGUUGGUGGGGUGAUGGCUCACCUAGGCGUCGAUCCCUAGCUGUUCUGAUAGGAUGAGCAGCCACACUGGGACUGAGACACGGCCCAGACGCCUAAGGGAGGCAGCAGUGGGGAAUAUUGCACAAUGGGCGCAAGCCUGAUGCAGCCAUGCCGCGUGUAUGAAGAAGGCCCUAGGGUUGUAAAGUACUUUCAGUCGGGAGGCGUUACCGACAGAAGAAGCACCGGCUAACUCCGAGCCAGCAGCCGCGGUAAUAC
rnacentral:rRNA from 1 species